rnacentral:rRNA from 1 species
UACGUAGGGUCCGAGCGUUGUCCGGAAUUACUGGGCGUAAAGCGUGCGUAGGUGGUUUGUUAAGUCUGUUGUGAAAGCCCCGGGCUCAACCUGGGAAUGGCAAUGGAUACUGGCAGGCUAGAGUGCGGUAGAGGGUAGUGGAAUUCCCGGUGUAGCGGUGAAAUGCGUAGAGAUCGGGAGGAACACCAGUGGCGAAGGCGGCUACCUGGACCAGCACUGACACUGAGGCACGAAAGCGUGGGGAGCAAACAGG